GUCUGAUUUCGCUGGCCGCCGUCGUUACCAAGGUCGGGGAGGCAGAUUAUGCUCGGACUUGUUGAUUUCGGUGCCGCAGUUGCCAAAGUCUAGCUUCAUGCCUUAGAGUGUCAUGAAGAACCUCUUCCUGGGACCCCGAAGCUUUUUGGCUUGGACAACAUGGAAAUUCUGGUGUUGGUUUUAUUGCUAGAUAUGGCGCAAGAAAAUUACUGCCAAGAGGUCAUUGUUUCAGUGGAUUAGUGGUUCUUUUCCCUAUUUUGGCUUCUCAGUUCAAUUCAUAGUGCAACGUUUUAUGGUGGACAUGGGGUGGGAGUUGCAACCCUCGCUUUGGUCUGGUGCGGCGCCACCAUCUGCGCCAUCUCCUGAUGAGGCUAUGACCAUGGUCACCCGCUACUAAUGCAGUCGUUGCGUGUGCCACGCCCGAGCCGCAUGGCCGCUGCACUGCUUCCUUGCUUUUAGUCAAACGGGCAGAUCCUCUAUUAGCAGCUUCAUGCCGUGCCACCGAUAGGCCAGCCCCCACACGGUCGUGCCACCGAAUGCUGACUUGAUCCGCCACCUGCCUUGCUUGCUGCUGUUGCGGGCUGAGCAACUGUUGCGUGCUCUACACCCUUUUGCUGCUGGCCGGCGACUCGAUUUUUCUUUCCUAGGUAUGUUUGACCUUUCCCUGAUCUUUGAUUUGGCUUAGCUUGCCCUGCGCUUCUGGUCUCUGCUCUUGAUUGUGUUGCAGCAAGCUGUGUUUCCCCUUUCUGUUGACGAGUGCCAAGGAAGACUGCUGGGUGGGAGUGAAAGUCACUGGUGACAAAUGGAUAAUUUCUUACCAUAAGCACCAGGGCUCAUGCCACUGUUGGAACGUUAUAUUGCGUUAUGUAAGAGCUGAAAAACAGACUCCAUGUAAACUUUAAG